rnacentral:tRNA from 1 species
GGCGCGUAUAGUGGCAGUACAGCGACCUUGCUCUGCCUUUCGCGAAUGACAGGGGUCUCACCCGUCGCUCGCGAGCGACGGGUGUCUCCAAAACCUCUAGUGGGAGUUCGAUUCUCUCCGCGCCUG